AGCUAUGUCCAAUAAGGAUGAGUGCUGUAAAAGAGUGAGUUAGGUGGUUGAGAAGAGAGCUGGAGUUUGUUAGUUGUGCUGUGAGGAGAUACCCAUGAGAAAUCACUGAGAAGUUCCUGUGGAAGAUGCACAUGCAGGGAAGGAGGUGUGAGAUGCUCCCAGAGGUCCCCUAUUGGUGGUUGUUGAAGCUUGACCCUACAGCAGGACAUGCUAUGGAGCUCACCGACCCCACUGCCUGGUGCAGCCAGGCUGUGCAUGCCGCAAGGAUGCCAUGGGACACAUCUACCCCCAGAAAUGACAGGCAGAGGAGCCACUCUGAGCUGUGACCAUCUGAGAGCACAGGACUACUGGGUCAUGGUUGUCCUGCCUGGAGCUUGCUGACUCAAGCCCCAGGUGUGUGGUGUGACACAGCUCUCCUGCAGAUACACCUCCAUCACCACACCAAACCUAUCUGCCACUGCACUCCCCAGGCUUGAGAUCCAUUUCUGGCUGUGACUGAUUGUCCCUUUAAUUUAUCUCUGCUUAGGAAUUGGUUCUUCCAUGUCUGUACACUGCAAAUAAACUCCUUUAAUUGAA